UACAGGUUUCCGUAGGUGACCUGCGGAAGGAUCAUUG
rnacentral:rRNA from 1 species